UACGGAGGGGGCUAGCGUUGUUCGGAAUUACUGGGCGUAAAGCGCGCGUAGGCGGACCUGCAAGUCGGGGGUGAAAGCCCGAGGCUCAACCUCGGAACUGCCUUCGAUACUGCGGGUCUCGAGUCCGGGAGAGGUGAGUGGAAUUCCUAGUGUAGAGGUGAAAUUCGUAGAUAUUAGGAAGAACACCAGUGGCGAAGGCGGCUCACUGGCCCGGUACUGAUGCUGAGGCGCGAAAGCGUGGGGAGCAAACAGG
rnacentral:rRNA from 1 species